GUGUGUGGUGUCUAAGAACAGCUCAAGUUCCUGAAUGUCCUUAAGGGUCUUAAUACGGUCCUCGAGUUGUCGGAUCCUGUGUUCCAUGCGAGUGAUCUGUUUACACUUGGGGCAGAUGUAAUUGAGUAAUUGUAGUGUGAAAAAGCUGAACAUGCCACAGCUUGUGCAUGAGACGGGAAGUUUUCGUGUUUGUUCCAUCUGGAGGUUGCUAAUUACCUCCUCUUGGUGUGUGUUUUAUGUUGUUGUCUGUAUGCAGGGGUGAAAGUAUAGGUUACUGAGUGUAUGACACUGGUUUAUAUAGGAUAACCAGGAAGCCCCGCCUCUCAAACAAAGCAGUUAAUUUUUAAACUCAGGAAGCCCCGCCUCUCAAACAAAGCA